AUUUGAUCAUCACUUGAGCAAUUAUGGUUUAUUAAUGGCUUAUGAGUUCUUGGAUCUAUUCCUUGGCUGAUUAACUUCUUGCUAAGGGGAAGCGCUAUUGAUAAUCCAUUAAGACAAGUUUUUAUUGGUAAGGAUCAAAUCCGAGAGCUCUGAUUAAAGACGGAAGAAUAUCCUUCAUUCCAUCACAUCCCUCGAUGGACUAGGAGGAUGGAUCGAGGAUCAGUCCCAUGGCUUGACAGAUCGAGAUACGAGGAUAAGGUACCAAGUUCGGGGUUCGAGACGCCUAAUGAAAUCGAGACCAGUAAUAAUCGAGAUCGAACGGGAUAAACAUUGAACAAAACCUGAGAUAGCAUAAUAACGAAAAGACGAGAUAUCCGUGACUGGUCGAUGAUAAUGGUGGAAAUCUCGGAACAGAUCAA